AUACGUAGGUCCCGAACGUUGCGCGAAAUUACUGGGCGUAAAGGGUCCGUAGGCGGUCUGGUAAGUGGAAGGUGAAAGCCUGGGGCUCAACUCCAGAAUUGCCUUCCAAACUGCCGGACUUGAGGCAGGGAGAGGUCGGCGGAAUUCCCGGUGUAGGGGUGAAAUGCGUAGAUAUCGGGAGGAACACCAGUGGCGAAGGCGGCCGACUGGAACUGUCCUGACGCUGAGGGACGAAAGCCAGGGGAGCGAACCGGAUUAGAAACCCUAGUAGUCC
rnacentral:rRNA from 1 species